GAAACAACUAUUUUCCUGGAGACAGAAGUAUCUACAAUUGAUUAAAACUUUUUCUUGUUGGUGAAGCUGACCCCAUCCUUCACAGACCUGAUGAGAUGGUGACCUCCGCCGAUGACAUUUUAAAGGGGAAACAAUGUGGUGAAUGACUGGAUUUCAGAUGUCUCCUCUAGUUUGUCUCCUCCCAACUCUUCCGUAGUCACCACCAUCGCUUGCUGUGCCAGUACGACCACUGUUAGCAGGCUACGAACACACUUGCAGUUUUUGAUGCAGGUUGAAGUGCAGGUGUUUUUGAGCAAAUUAUGAAAUGGACCCAGAAAAGUACAAAGCGACCACAGAGGUAGCAGAAGGAUCCGUUACUUAUCUGUAAGAAAGUUAAGCGAAAUGCAAAACCUGAAUGAAUUUCUCCCAAUAAAGAAAAAAUAUGAGAACACGUCCUCCUUAUGUAUAGUAAAUUGUAUGCUCUACCAGCUGUUUUUUUAAUAUUGCUCGAUACAUUCACUUGAUGUGCUGCACAGAACAUUUUUAGCGCAGGCUUGUGAAAUCGUGAGCCGCGGGUGGCCCCCUGGCAUCAAACAUCUCGGCAUGCAGUAUCGGAGACGGGAAAUACGAGGAAC